rnacentral:rRNA from 1 species
ACGGAAGGCAGCAGUGGGGAAUAUUGGGCAAUGGGCGCAAGCCUGACCCAGCAACGCCGCGUGAAGGAAGAAGGCUUUCGGGUUGUAAACUUCUUUUGUCAGGGAAGAGUAGAAGACUGUACCUGGCGAAUAAGCCACGGCUAACUACGUGCCAGCAGCCGCGGUAAUACGUAGGUGGCAAGCGUUAUCCGGAUUUACUGGGUGUAAAGGGCGCGUAGGCGGGGAUGCAAGUCAGGUGUGAAAUCUAUGGGCUUAACCCAUAAACUGCAUUUGAAACUGUAUCUCUUGAGUGUCGGAGAGGUAGAUGGAAUUCCUAGUGUAGCGGUGAAAUGCGUAGAUAUUAGGAGGAACACCAGUGGCGAAGGCGAUCUACUGGACGAUAACUGACGCUGAGGCGCGAAAGUGUGGGGAGCAAACAGGAUUAGAUACCCUGGUA